GAUGAACGCUGGCGGCGUGCCUAAUACAUGCAAGUCGAGCGAACAGACGAGGAGCUUGCUCCUCUGACGUUAGCGGCGGACGGGUGAGUAACACGUGGAUAACCUACCUAUAAGACUGGGAUAACUUCGGGAAACCGGAGCUAAUACCGGAUAAUAUAUUAAACCGCAUGGUUCAAUAUUGAAAGACGGUUUUGCUGUCACUUAUAGAUGGAUCCGCGCCGCAUUAGCUAGUUGGUAAGGUAACGGCUUACCAAGGCAACGAUGCGUAGCCGACCUGAGAGGGUGAUCGGCCACACUGGAACUGAGACACGGUCCAGACUCCUACGGGAGGCAGCAGUAGGGAAUCUUCCGCAAUGGGCGAAAGCUUGACGGAGCAACGCCGCGUGAGUGAUGAAGGUCUUCGGAUCGUAAAACUCUGUUAUUAGGGAAGAACAAAUGUGUAAGUAACUAUGCACGUCUUGACGGUACCUAAUCAGAAAGCCACGGCUAACUACGUG
rnacentral:rRNA from 1 species